rnacentral:lncRNA from 1 species
UGGCUUUGCAUUUUAGCUUAGGGAAGGACCUGCUUUGCAGAAAGGAUCUCAUUGAGAAUAGCAAAAGGAAGUUGGGAACCAUUACAGUGCCCAGCUGUAUUGGUAGAGGAGACCAACCACACCCUCCACAGCACAGCACCUGGAGAGGAACUGCUGCCAUGACCAUAGAGGACACCCUCUGGAUACAAUGCCAGACUUGAUGUGGGACUGACCAACCUAUGGACCCCAGGCACCACCACCCAGACCUGCUCAGCACCUGAAACAUUCACAGCCGUGGAGAGAGAACUGUUCACUGCUACCAUCCACACUUCUGGGCCCCUUCAGCAGCAGGGUGACAAGGAAGAGGGAAAUCGACUUGGAAAAGAGGGGACCUCUGACCCAAGAGUUCGGUCAAUGCAUAUGUUGGCAGCCAGCUGCACAUCGCACCAAAUAUGAACUUCAAAUAGAAGAAAGCCUCAUUUGGAAGAAAGCUCAUGCACAGACUGUAAAUAUUUCAGAGCAGAUUGUGUCUCUGUAGAUUAAAUAGUAACCAAAAAAUAGAAGAUUCAGAAGAACUAGCAAAUGUGGAGAGAACGGAUGAAAUGGAAGCAGUGUGAACCUAGUGAAUACUUGCCAAGCUGUAUCUCCCCUGAAUUUGUCAAAACAUCAUCUCCAGCAUCUGAGCUAGACCAACCCUCAGUGCUAACAUUGAU